UCUCUUUUUCUAUCAUCCAUAUUCUCCUAACAACUUUCGAUAAUUUUCCGGUAUACACACACAAGGAUUCCAUGAUCAUAUAAGCGUAAAUUAUUAUCUCAAUUUUGUGAUCAUCGCUUAAGGUGAUCAAGAUUUCUGGGACAGGAUAAGGAAGAGUGUUCGAGUGUUUGGAAAAGACCGUAGAAAUAAAUGUACUGGAUUAGAUAUCCUAUUUCCAUCAAGUUCCCGUUUCGGGUUGGGGUGUUAUAG
rnacentral:lncRNA from 1 species